rnacentral:lncRNA from 1 species
AAAGGGUUACUCUUGUCGGGGUUCAGUUUACAUGGACGUGGUGUCCCAAGAUGUUCUGGAGCAGUAAAUACAUGUCAAUCAGUGCUUCUAAGGAAAGCCUUGAUUGGAAUAGACUCAGGUCUAUAGGCUGUGAUGUCCAAGAUGCUUCAUUCUAUGUGUGGUGAAGGACUUCCCUAAAUCCACUGGGUGGUGAUGGAGAGAUGAUAUAAGGAGAGGUUAAUUGUGAAGAUGGAAGAAGAGGAACGGAAAUAGCAGGAGAGCCCCCAGGAAACAGACACCAUAAGAGGGAGAACCACAAGGCGGAGCCUCUGCAACACUUGAUUUCACACUCUAGUGAAGAGAAGCAAGUACUUCAAUCUGCUUCAUUGCCCCAUCUUGCCGGAGCAUUAAUCGCUUCACAGAAUAAAAACAGAAAAACCACAAAUUGGCAUUUUUGGAAACCACUGAAGUGAACUUUGCCUCCUGUAGAGAUGUAGAGGGAACUGGGAAGGAUUCGUUGAGUAAACGGACCUGUAGUCAGAUGUUUGAAGCCGCUUCUACUCUCAGCUUGCCUGGGAAGAUGAAGAAAGCAAGAAACAGCUACCUAGUACUCAACUCCCACGGAGAACACACAAAGGAAAAGCUUGUCAUGUGGAUUUCUCCGCCAUCAAAAGAAACGUUUUCUGUCAUCCAAGGAGUAAAAUUGAACCUUGUCUUUUUUCCCUUUGCAAAAUAAACUGACUUGUUAGUCUGCAAUCAUACAAUUAG